rnacentral:lncRNA from 1 species
CCAAGUUGCCCCUGUGUUGGGCCAGUUUCUUCCCAUUCCCACCUCUGCCUCCUUCACUUACUUAUAGGUGUGUCUGCUAAGGGCAUUUCCCAGGAAAUUUCCCUGCAUCCUAGUCACCCUCUCUCUUUUUCAAGGGAAUGAAUUUAAGACAAGUUGGUAUUUUCUUUCAGAUGGAUAAUGAAUUGUGUAAAGUAAUCUUUUAUUAAGUCAUCUCUUAUGAGGCAUAAAUCUUAAGUGCCUUAUAAUGCCACUUACUGUUUGUCAUUGCCGUGUGUAUUAUGUUAUAUUUACUGUGUUUAUUUAUAUGUUCUCUUUGCUUUUUUAAAGCAUCUCUUCUGGCAUUUAGGAAUAUUUGUAUUUUUAUUCUAGUAGUCCUAGUGUGUUAAUAAUUUUUAUAUUGUCCUUAAUCUUUUUUCACUUUUUAUUAUCAGUUUUAAUUGUCAUUUGACUCCCAUCGUUAACUAUAUAACAGUUAGUGAUCUUAUUUUACUUUCCUCCUUUUCCUUCCUCUCUCCUUCCAGUUUUUAGUUGCCUUCUAACUACUUUGUCAGAACACGUAAUGUUUACACAUUGUUCUUCACACCAUAACCUCAAUCUUGUUUUAGUGUUACCUUUACAAUUGAAUGUGUAAAGUGGUCACUGCAGGUCUUUUUGCAAUACUUCCCCAGGCAUAUUUUGGUUGGUGAAGCUAAUUCUCUAACAGAUUCCUCAGAGGGGGUAUAUAUUCAUAGUAUUACCAUUCAGACUCCCCCCCCCCCCAGUUUUAUUGAUGUAACUAAUGUAACAUUGUAUGAGUUUAAGGUGGAUAAUAUACAUGUUUUUAAAAUUUUUAUUGAAGUGUAGAUGAUUGACAAUGUUGUGUUAAUUUCUACUGUAUAGCAAAGUGAUUCAGUGAUACAAACAUACAUAUUUUUUUCGUAUUCUUUUUUUUUUUUUCUUUUAGGGCCACACAUACAGCAUAUGGAAGUUCCCAGGCUAGGGGUCAAAUUGGAGCUGUAGCCACUGGCCUAUGCCACAGCCACAGCAACGCGGGAUCCGAGCCGCGUCUGCGACCUACACCACAGCUCACGGCAACGCCAGAUCGUCAACCUACUGAGCAAGGGCAGGGAUCAAACCCCCAACCUCAUGGUUCCUAGUUGGAUUCGUUAACCACUGCGCCUCGACGGGAACUCCCGUAUUCUUUUCCAUUAUGCUUUAUUACAGGAUAUUAAAUAUAGUUCCCUGUGCUACACAGUGGGACCUUGUUAUUCAUCCAUUCUAUAUGUAAUAGUUUGCAUCUGCUAAUCCCAAACUCCCUAUCCAUUCCUCCCCCACCUCCUGUCCCUUUUGGCAACCACAAGUCUGUUCUUGGUCUGUGAGUCUACUGUUUUGUAGAUAGAUUGAUUUGUGUCACAUUUUAGAUUCCACUGUAAGUGAUCUCAUAUGGUAUUUGCCUUUCUCUUUCUGACUUACUUCACUUAGUAUGAGUAUCUAUGGUUGCAUCCAUGUUGCUGCAAAUGGUGUUAUUUUGUUCUUUUUUAUGGCUUAGGAUUCCAUUGUAUGUGUGUACCACAUCUUACAUUCAUCUGUUGAUGGACAUUUAGGUUGUUUCUAUGUCUUGGCUACAAUAUGCAUGUUUUUACUGUAAAAUGAUGACCACAGGAAGUUUAAAUUAUUAAUUCACAUAGUUAAACAUUUUUUUUUGUUGUUAUUUUUUUGUCUUUUCUAGGGCCACACCUGUGGCAUAUGGAGGUUCCCAGGAUAGGGGUCUAAUUGGAGCUGUAGCUGCCAGCCUGCACCAGAGCCACAGCAAUGCGGGAUCUGACCAACGUCUGUGACCUCCACCACAGCUCACGGCAAUGCUGGAUCCUUAAUCUACUGAGCGAGGCCAUGGAUCGAACCUGCAACCUCAUGGUUCCUAGUCGGAUUUGUUUCCACUGCGCCACGAUGGGAACUCUGAGAUAGUAUUGUUUAUUGUAGCCAUAAUGCAGUGCACUACAGCCCCAAAACUUAUUUAUCUUAUUUAAAAGUUAUUUAUUCCAUGUGUAGGUGAGAUCAUACAGUAUUUGUCUUUUUCUGUUUGAUUUAUUUUACUUAGGUUAUUACAUUCAAGGUGUAUCCAUGUUAUUGCAAAUGACAGGAUAUCUUUCUUUUUAUGGCUGAAUAAUAUUCUCUUGUACAUAUAGCAUAUUUUCUUUAUCCAUUCAUCCAUCAGUGGACCCUUAGGUUGUUUUCAUGUAUUGGUUAUUGUAAAUAAUGCUUUGAUGAACAUGGGGAGGCAGCUAUCUCUUUGAGAUAGUGGUUUUAUUUCCUUCAGACAUGUACCUAGAAGUGGAAUUGCUGAAUCACAUGGUAGUUCUAUUUUUAAUUUUUUGAGGAGUCUUCAUACUGUUUCCAGUAGGGGCUGCACCAGUUUACAUUCCCACCAAAAGUACAUGAGGGUCCCUUUUACUCCACAUCCUUGCCAACACUUUUUUUUUUUUUUUUUAAUGAUACCAUUCUAACAGGUAUGAAGUGGUAUCUCCUUGUGGUUUUGAUUUGCAUCUCCCUGAUGCCUAGUGAUGUUAAUUAAGCACCUUUUCAUGUACCUCCUGAUUUUCCUGAACCUCUUGAUCAAAAGUAUGUCUUCUUUGGAAGAAAUGUUUAUUCAGAUACUCUGCCCAUUUUUAAAACUGGUUAUUUGGUUUUUUGCUAUUGAAUUGUAUGAGUUCUUUAUAUGUUUGUUGGAUAUUAGUCAUCAGAUAUAUGAUUUACAAAUAUUUUCUCCCAUUUGGUAGGUUGCUUUUUUGUUUUAUUGAUGAUUUCCUUUGCUGUACAGAAGCUUUUUAGUUUGGUGUAGUCCCAUUUGUUUAUUUUUGCUUUUGUUGCCUUUGCUUUUAGUGUCAAAUCCAAAAAAUCAUUGCCAAGACCAAUAUCAAGGAGCUUACCCUCAACAUUGUUUUUUGAUGUUUUUGAAACCUGCAGAACAGCUUGGCAGGAUAUAAUAUCCUUGGUUUACAUUUUCUUUCCUUAAGUUGCUUAAAAAUGCUGCUCUGCUGUUUCCUUGAUUUAUAUGUUAUUUUUGAAGUAAUUUAUUGCUGGUCUAGCUUCCUUACCUUUGUAAAUUAUUUCAUCUUUUUUUGCCUGAAUGUCCUGAAGUGUUUUUUUUUUUUUUUUUUUCUUCCCUUUAAAUAAUUUUUCAAGGCUAUGUCUUAAACAGUUGCUCGUUCUGGGUCAGGUUUCCCAGGUUACCUGGUAGGCCUUUUGAACAUGUAGAUUCAGGACAUUUAUUUCUGGAAAGUUUUUGUAUUUCAUAGUUUAGUGCUGACCUGUUGUUUUGACUCUCUUCCUUAGGGACUUCAGUCAUAUUGCUGAUGUUCUCCCCUCUUUGCUUAUCAUCUGUAUCAGCCAAUUUCUCUCUGACCCGUUUGCUUCUUUCUUUUUCCUUUUUUUUUUUUGGGCUGGUGGGGGGGGGGCUCACCCUCAGCAGGUGAAAGUUCCUGGGCCAGGGAUCGAUCCCACACCACAGCAGCAACCCAAGUCACUGAAGUGACAAUGCUGUAUUCUUAACCCACUGCACCACAAUGGGAACUCUGCUUCUUUCUUUAUUUCACUUUCAUUUUCUUUAUUGUUUUCUGCUUUUCUUAAACAUCCUUUGUUAAGUCUUUAUUAAUAUCUAUUCCCCCAUAUGUGCCUUAUAAUUAAUUUUCAUUUUUAUAUGAUUUUAUCUU